UCUCUUGCAGGAACCCCUUUGUGAUGACCACCACCAGGCAAACAAUAUAACAUAACAAGGCACCCAGGAGUCCCAGAUUUAUAGUUGACCCAUUAUCCCAAUAGGGUAAUGGCAUCUCCUUGCCAAUUAGUCCAGCAAAAGCACCAACACUGAGUGUAAAAGAACCAACGUGGAUAACUUGACAGCCUUGGACCACUCCUAUGGCCAAAAGGAAUGAAAUUUGCAGAUUAACUGCUUGUCUGAACUCGUGAAAUAGGAAUGAUGAGCCUCCGUGGAGUUGAAGGGGCUUCCUGAUGAACUCAUCUGUUUUCGUCUUUUGUAAUGAGAAGUUACCACUGUGCCCAGAAUGUUCUGCUUCUCUGAAGGCUUGCAGUUCUCACUUUAUACAGCAGCGGUUCCUGAAAUGAUGUCAGCCUCCCAGUAGCUUCUGAAUGAGUCUUCAUUCUAUGUCUCCUUAUCCAUAAUAGAAGCCA